AACGAACGCUGGCGGCAUGCCUAACACAUGCAAGUCGAACGAGACCUUCGGGUCUAGUGGCGCACGGGUGCGUAACGCGUGGGAACCUGCCCUUAGGUUCGGAAUAACUCCCCGAAAGGGGUGCUAAUACCGGAUAAUGUCUUCGGACCAAAGAUUUAUCGCCUUUGGAUGGGCCCGCGUUGGAUUAGCUAGUUGGUAGGGUAAAAGCCUACCAAGGCGACGAUCCAUAGCUGGUCUGAGAGGAUGAUCAGCCACACUGGGACUGAGACACGGCCCAGACUCCUACGGAAGGCAGCAGUGGGGAAUAUUGGACAAUGGGCGAAAGCCUGACCCAGCAAUGCCGCGUGAGUGAUGAAGGCCUUAGGGUUGUAAAGCUCUUUUACCCGGGAUGAUAAUGACAGUACCGGGAGAAUAAGCUCCGGCUAACUCCGUG
rnacentral:rRNA from 1 species